CAGAGAAUAGUUUAAUUAAAAUAUUAAUUUUGGAGAUUAAUGAUAAAAGUAUAAUUUUUUCUCUGA
rnacentral:tRNA from 2 species